rnacentral:rRNA from 1 species
AGAGUUUGAUCCUGGCUCAGGAUGAACGCUGGCGGCGUGCUUGAUACAGGCAAGUCGAACGGGCUGGUUAGGGACUGAAGCUUUGGAAGGGGCGGAAGAUGAGAAAUCGUUGGAGGCCUUGGAAGGGGUAGGGGUCUCGGUGCCGGCCAGUGGCGAACGGGUGCGUAACACGUGGGUAAUCCACCCUCAAGUGGGGAAUAACCGUCCGAAAGGGCAGCUAAUUCCGCAUGUGGUCCGGAAGGAAGAAAGGGCUUACGCUCGCUUGAGGACGAGCCUGCGGCCGAUUAGCUAGUUGGUGAGGUAAUGGCCCACCAAGGCGAUGAUCGGUAGCUGGUCUGAGAGGACGAUCAGCCACACUGGAACUGGAACACGGUCCAGACUCCUACGGGAGGCAGCCGCAAGGAAUAUUGCACAAUGGGGGGAACCCUGAUGCAGCAACGCCGCGUGGGCGAUGAAGGCCUUCGGGUUGUAAAGCCCUCUUCUAAAGGAAGAGACAAGGACGGUACUUUAGGAAUAAGUCUCGGCUAACUACGUGCCAGCAGACGCGGUAAAACGUAGGAGACGAGCGUUAUCCGGAUUUACUGGGCGUAAAGGGCAAGUAGGCGGUGGACAAAGUUGGACGUGACAUCUCUCGGCCUAACUGGGAGGGGUCGUCCAAAACUAGUGCACUAGAGGGCAGGAGAGGGGAGUGGAAUUCCUAGUGUAGCGGUGGAAUGCUUAGAGAUUAGGAAGAACACCAGUGGCGAAGGCGACUCUCUGGCCUGACCCUGACGCUGAGAGGCGAAAGCUAGGGGAGCGAACGGGCUUAGAUACCCCGGUAGUCCUAGCUGUAAACGUUGGGUACUGGGUAUUGGGGGGCAACAAACCCUCAGUGCCGAAGCGAACGCGUUAAGUAUCCCGCCUGGGGACUACGGCCGCAAGGUUAAAACUCAAAUGAAUUGACGG